CAGUAAACACAUCACGGCGCUUCUGUGACAGCGUGGCCUUUGCUCCUGCACCACCUUCAGGCUUUGCACCUCAUGCCCCACUCAUCCAGUCAACGGCAUCUCUUGCUUGUCACCUGUCCAACAAUGAUCAUAAAUAUAAACCAUAACUGGACAUGGCGACUGUACGCACAGAUUCAAGUGUCGGAUUAUUGCUCCUUUAUCCUCUUCCUUCAUAAGAAGAACACGGUUGUGCUGUAUGCUCUGAAAAUGUCAUUUAUUGUCUCAUUGUGUCUCCCCUGCUAGACUGACUCAAGAAGAAAGGCGAGCCUAAAUGGACAAUUUGAUGCUAAGGCUACUACAGUUUUUAGAAACCCAGAGAUAGUGUGACCGUAACACCAGAUGACGCUCUCUGUCUGUCCUCAGAGCACUGUCACUGGUCACAAUGAUCACCUUCUUCUAGAACAGCCUUGGAUGUCCGAUGUUCGUCAUUCCCAGACUAUAAUAAAGCUCCUUUUGUCUGAUGACUGUGGCUGACACAAAUAAGGAGGAUCUCAGUCAAAAGGAUCACAGAGACGGAGCAGGCUGUGAAGUGAACCAAACAAAACACAGUCUACUUUGGCAUUUCAAGCUCCAGAACAUCAAGGAAACACGUCUGUCUGACACCUACUCAGCAAAUCAGCCCAAAGAGCCGCUGGUUCUGGACACUGGAGGGCUGUCAUGAAGCACAGGUGCACUUCCGAGUUUUGAAGACACAAUUAAGCUCCCAUUACUCACCUAAAGAGGUGUGAACGUGUCCCACAGUAACCAGGCACGGAGGCUGCGUGGUUCGUUAUCACGCUUGUUGUACUGGAGCCACUGGUUGGUUCUGGCAUCUGAUCUGGAGGCUUCCUGGACACCUCCUGUGUCUAAGUUGGAGCAAGUCCUGCUGGGAUUACUCGUCCAUCUGGCCUGGGAAAGCCUCGUGAUUAUUCGCCACCAAAGGCUGGAGAACAUGACUGUGGAGGAGAGCGUUGGGUCUAACAAUUGCAAGGCUGCACAUCCUGUAAGGAAAUCGGGAUUGAACAGGUGCAUGUGGUUCAUACGUCCCAUCCAAACACAAGGAAAAUGGCAGAUCUAAAGAGCAAAGACUAAAACAAAGUGUGACAAUAUGCUGAAUGCGAAAAAAGGGAAGCGGUAACAUUUCAUCGCAAAUUGUAGUUUGUAGAAAAAUCCACUUUUAAUACCUUAAUUUAAGCAUCUGAGACAUCUUGGAAUUGAUGCCGUUCCCAAACACACCUGCCCAAGCUCACCUUUGUGUCCUGUGAAGGACACGUCUUUGUACACUGCUUCCUGCUAAAUGUCAAACACGCUGAUGUUAGUACACUACAAAAAAAUCAAUUUAAAAAAAGUCAUUUUCUGUCAAGGACUUCCAAAAGGUUAUUUUCCUAACAUUUGCAGAAUCAAGGUCUUGUUUUAAGGCCUUGACACUAAGCUCUAUAUCGCUACAACAACAAACCCUGCUCUGGAAAGUGUCUCCAUUGUGUGUUUACCUGAAUAUUACAUUGUUUUAGUCUUUGACGAAUGUCUAAAACCACAUUUCAAACUCAUCA